rnacentral:rRNA from 1 species
CUGGGAGGACCAUCUCCUAAGGCUAAAUACUCUCUAGUGACCGAUAGUGAACCAGUACCGUGAGGGAAAGGUGAAAAGCACCCCGGAAGGGGAGUGAAAUAGAACCUGAAACCGUGUGCUUACAAGUAGUCAGAGCCCGUUAAUGGGUGAUGGCGUGCCUUUUGUAGAAUGAACCGGCGAGUUACGAUUUGAUGCAAGGUUAAGCAGUAAAUGUGGAGCCGUAGCGAAAGCGAGUCUGAAUAGGGCGUUUAGUAUUUGGUCGUAGACCCGAAACCAGGUGAUCUACCCUUGGUCAGGUUGAAGUUCAGGUAACACUGAAUGGAGGACCGAACCGACUUACGUUGAAAAGUGAGCGGAUGAACUGAGGGUAGCGGAGAAAUUCCAAUCGAACCUGGAGAUAGCUGGUUCUCUCCGAAAUAGCUUUAGGGCUAGCCUCAAGUGAUGAUUAUUGGAGGUAGAGCACUGUUUGGACGAGGGGCCCCUCUCGGGUUACCGAAUUCAGACAAACUCCGAAUGCCAAUUAAUUUAACUUGGGAGUCAGAACAUGGGUGAUAAGGUCCGUGUUCGAAAGGGAAACAGCCCAGACCACCAGCUAAGGUCCCAAAAUAUAUGUUAAGUGGAAAAGGAUGUGGCGUUGCCCAGACAACUAGGAUGUUGGCUUAGAAGCAGCCAUCAUUUAAAGAGUGCGUAAUAGCUCACUAGUCGAGUGACACUGCGCCGAAAAUGUACCGGGGCUAAACAUAUUACCGAAGCUGUGGAUUGUCCUUUGGACAAUGGUAGGAGAGCGUUCUAAGGGCGUUGAAGCAUGAUCGUAAGGACAUGUGGAGCGCUUAGAAGUGAGAAUGCCGGUGUGAGUAGCGAAAGACGGGUGAGAAUCCCGUCCACCGAUUGACUAAGGUUUCCAGAGGAAGGCUCGUCCGCUCUGGGUUAGUCGGGUCCUAAGCUGAGGCCGACAGGCGUAGGCGAUGGAUAACAGGUUGAUAUUCCUGUACCACCUAUAAUCGUUUUAAUCGAUGGGGGGACGCAGUAGGAUAGGCGAAGCGUGCGAUUGGAUUGCACGUCUAAGCAGUAAGGCUGAGUAUUAGGCAAAUCCGGUACUCGUUAAGGCUGAGCUGUGAUGGGGAGAAGACAUUGAGUCUUCGAGUCGUUGAUUUCACACUGCCGAGAAAAGCCUCUAGAUAGAAAAUAGGUGCCCGUACCGCAAACCGACACAGGUAGUCAAGAUGAGAAUUCUAAGGUGAGCGAGCGAACUCUCGUUAAGGAACUCGGCAAAAUGACCCCGUAACUUCGGGAGAAGGGGUGCUCUUUAGGGUUAACGCCCAGAAGAGCCGCAGUGAAUAGGCCCAAGCGACUGUUUAUCAAAAACACAGGUCUCUGCUAAACCGUAAGGUGAUGUAUAGGGGCUGACGCCUGCCCGGUGCUGGAAGGUUAAGAGGAGUGGUUAGCUUCUGCGAAGCUACGAAUCGAAGCCCCAGUAAACGGCGGCCGUAACUAUAACGGUCCUAAGGUAGCGAAAUUCCUUGUCGGGUAAGUUCCGACCCGCACGAAAGGCGUAACGAUUUGGGCACUGUCUCAACGAGAGACUCGGUGAAAUCAUAGUACCUGUGAAGAUGCAGGUUACCCGCGACAGGACGGAAAGACCCCGUGGAGCUUUACUGUAGCCUGAUAUUGAAAUUCGGCACAGCUUGUACAGGAUAGGUAGGAGCCUUUGAAACGUGAGCGCUAGCUUACGUGGAGGCGCUGGUGGGAUACUACCCUAGCUGUGUUGGCUUUCUAACCCGCACCACUUAUCGUGGUGGGAGACAGUGUCAGGCGGGCAGUUUGACUGGGGCGGUCGCCUCCUAAAAGGUAACGGAGGCGCUCAAAGGUUCCCUCAGAAUGGUUGGAAAUCAUUCAUAGAGUGUAAAGGCAUAAGGGAGCUUGACUGCGAGACCUACAAGUCGAGCAGGGUCGAAAGACGGACUUAGUGAUCCGGUGGUUCCGCAUGGAAGGGCCAUCGCUCAACGGAUAAAAGCUACCCCGGGGAUAACAGGCUUAUCUCCCCCAAGAGUUCACAUCGACGGGGAGGUUUGGCACCUCGAUGUCGGCUCAUCGCAUCCUGGGGCUGUAGUCGGUCCCAAGGGUUGGGCUGUUCGCCCAUUAAAGCGGUACGCGAGCUGGGUUCAGAACGUCGUGAGACAGUUCGGUCCCUAUCCGUCGUGGGCGUAGGAAAUUUGAGAGGAGCUGUCCUUAGUACGAGAGGACCGGGAUGGACAUACCUCUGGUGUACCAGUUGUCGUGCCAACGGCAUAGCUGGGUAGCUAUGUGUGGACGGGAUAAGUGCUGAAAG